GCCGGCGUGGCGAAAUGGCAGACGCAGUUGACUCAAAAUCAUCCGGAGAAAUCCAUGUCGGUUCGAGUCCGACCGCCGGCA
rnacentral:tRNA from 1 species